GGAUAGAUCUGGUUGUGACAUCUGUCACCCUAUUGAUUAUCGGGGCUAAUCGUCCUGAUCUGGCUGAGAAGGGGGGUGCCCCUGUGCCUGACUCUUUUAUGGGCAUCCUUGCAGAGACGGUGUGCUCAGAGAAUGUCUUUUCCAGAGAACUGUUCUUCAGUCAGGGGUGUUUGAGUCGUCCGUCUCUCGAUAUAAUCUCCAAACAACCAUCCAGGUCUACUUGAUUAUACUUUCCACUAUACGACACAUAUUUGUGCAUCUCGUGUUUUCCACGAUUGGGGUUUAUU
rfam:Equus caballus chromosome 24, whole genome shotgun sequence.